CCCCAAGAUCAACCCACACACCCGGCAGACCAGGAGGGACCAAGGCUCCUGGGAGGACCUCUCCCCAAGCUGCAGGAAAAUCUGGAAGCAGAGGAGAAACAGUAAAGAUUUUUGAGGAGACUAUAAUCAGGCUUGUAUCAUAAAUUCAUCAGACGUUUAUGGACCACCCAACGUCCCUGCACUCAUGGGGCUUGCAGUCUCUCUGGCUUAAUCAUUUUACUCUGGCAGCCAGUGUGAGGAGGGCACAGGAAGGAGACCAGGUGACAAAGCCAGCCUGACCAAAGAAGAUGUGGCAACUGAUGGGAUUGGAAGAGGCGGACAAUGUCAAGCUUUCCUCCAGACAGCUGGACUGGCUCUCUAUAUAUUUAUUUAUCUAUUCUACACCCCAGCCCCCACCUCCAGACUCACUAACUGGACUCAACUAGUGGGUGCAAAGGACGGAGUAGAUUUUAGUGAAAUGGAAUUUCUACGUCCAGCGGCCCCUGGAACAGAAGCACACAACCAUCUAAUAAUUGCUUGCAGGAUUGGAUUGUGUAAGUGUGGACAGAAUUUGGGAAUCUGGGCUACUCUGGGCACACUGCCUAUGGGGCAGCCCUGCUCCGCAAGGAAAAUAAACACAGUUUUUUAAAAAA